GGCAUGGUGGAUUAGUGGUUAGCACGUUGGCCUCCCACCUUCAGAAUUGGGGGUUCGAUUCCCAUCUCCGCCC